GUAAACUCAGAGAUUAAGAGUAUUAAGGAAUAUUUAUUGCUCAGAGAGCUGUCGGUCGGUGAAAGACAGUCAAUAAACUCCCCAACUCGCUUAUGAGAGGUCAGGCUGACAUGUAGGUCUGAACGGUUCACUUCCGUAAUAAAGUCUUAAGAAGGUUUGUUCAGUUUACAAACCAAUAAGAGUGGUACCACGAAGGGUAAACCUGUCGUCUCUUUU
rnacentral:ncRNA from 1 species